rnacentral:rRNA from 1 species
AGCGAACGCUGGCGGCAGGCUUAACACAUGCAAGUCGAGCGGGCGUAGCAAUACGUCAGCGGCAGACGGGUGAGUAACACGUGGGAACGUACCUUUUGGUUCGGAACAACACAGGGAAACUUGUGCUAAUACCGAAUAAGCCCUUACGGGGAAAGGAUUAUCGCCGAAAGAUCGGCCCGCGUCUGAUUAGCUUGUUGGUGAGGUAACGGCUCACCAAGGCGACGAUCAGUAGCUGGUCNGAGAGGAUGAUCAGCCACACUGGGACUGAGACACGGCCCAGACUCCUACGGGAGGCAGC